rnacentral:piRNA from 1 species
UCAUGGAGGUCGACGUUCCUGACGAACCAC